CUACGGGGGGCAGCAGUGGGGAAUAUUGCACAAUGGAGGAAACUCUGAUGCAGCAACGCCGCGUGGAGGAUGACACUUUUCGGAGCGUAAACUCCUUUUAUAUAGGAAGAAGAUGACGGUACUAUAUGAAUAAGCGCCGGCUAACUCCGUGCCAGCAGCCGCGGUAAUACGGAGGGCGCAAGCGUUACUCGAAAUCACUGGGCGUAAAGAGCGUGUAGGCGGAUUAAAAAGUCAGAAGUGAAAUCCUAUAGCUUAACUAUAGAACUGCUUCUGAAACUCUUAAUCUAGAAUGUGGGAGAGGUAGAUGGAAUUUCCGGUGUAGGGGUAAAAUCCGUAGAGAUCAGAAGGAAUACCGAUUGCGAAGGCGAUCUACUAGAACAUUAUUGACGCUGAGGUGCGAAAGCGUGGGGAGCAAACAGGAUUAGAUACCCGCGUAGUC
rnacentral:rRNA from 1 species